UCCAUGAUCUGAUCAACUGGCCACUAUUUUAUAAAACAGUCGAAUUCAUUUCGGUCAUUCACUACAGUUAAGCAGGAGAAUUAUAAUACGUGCAUCAUCAAAUCACAAGGAACUAUCGGCGUAUCACUUUACUAUCGGCCUAUCACUUUAAAACGAGUAGCAUUCAUAAUCAUUAUACAUAAAGGCUUUUAAAACGUUGCUGAAUAUUAGGCAUGGGUUAGCCGGUUAUAAGGCAUAUGACAAGGUAAAUUUCAAUUUCAACUGACAGAGUUCACUCCAUGAGGAAAACGACGACACGAUAAGAAUGACAUAACUGUGUAAAUGAAUAUAUUUUGUAAUCUGCAACAAUUCUCUUGAGAAAAUAGAUGUACUGAUACGCAAUAUUAAAAUAUUGCCACAAUGAAUAGUACAAUUUGCAAACAGGAUACGGAAAGAACAGAUAUUGCCAUUAUUAUUUGCGCUGUUUAUCUCCUAACUACAGCUAUCCUGUCAAUUGUUGGCAACCUCAUUGUCUUGUUGGCAAUUCACAACUCCACACGACUGCGAGAACAGCCUUCGAGCGUAUUCGUGGCGAAUUUGAGUAUAUGUGACUUACUGAAUGCCGUCUUUGUAAUAUUACCAACAACAUGCUUUAUCAUCAAAGACAACGCAUCUGUACCCAAUGCCUUUUGCAAUAUACAGUGUGCAUUAAAUUAUGUUUUCAUAAUCGUAUCUAUGCUUUCCCUAGCAAUGAUUGCCGUGGAGCGAUGGGUCUCUGUGUCGUCACCUUUCAAACACAUGGACAUAAUGCGCAAUCGCACUGUCAUGCUUAUGACCUCAUGUACAUGGAUACAGGGGCUGGCCUUUGGGUGUGUGCCGAUCAUAUGCUCAUGGGUUAUGUAUGACUACUGGGAGGCAGUAUGUGCAAUUACCUGGGAUGCCCAUGCCGAUUCUGGUGGGGUGGAGUACGUCGUAACAGCAUUUAUUCUUUGCUUUGCUGUGCCAUCCGUUCUAAUGAUCGCUUGUUAUGGAAAGAUUCUUGCCAUAGUCCAACGGAAAGACACUCAUAGACACCGCUUACAACAGAAACGUAACGAAGAUAUGCGAAUCAUAAAGAGUAUACUUGCCGUAGUCAUCGUAUUCUUUGUUUGUAUGACGCCAUUUUGUAUCACAAAGCUUAUUAAAAUAUUCUUUUCAACUUGUUCCAUCCCAUCGUGGGUGAAUUUGUUCUCAAGUCUAGCACAAUUCACAUCAAGUGCUACCAAUCCCUGGAUAUAUGGUGUCUUCAGAGAGGACUUCCGUUAUGCCGUUAGAAAAACAUUCUGGAAGCUAUAUUCCGCGGUGCCUUGCGGAUCAGGCGACUUAGUGAGACCGGUAUCCCAGCCUAGCUCCUUCAUAUGAGGUUCAUUUAUAUGCUAAACAUCAUGUGACCCGUCCCAACUUCUCUGUUUUUGCGACUUAAUAGAUCUGACAAAAAAUUAAAAUAAAAUGGCACCGUGGCCGUACCAUGAACUGCAGAAAUUCUAGUCUGUAGAUUUAGAAAAGCAAGGGCUUGUUUACCGGGGAGUCACAUACUCUCUUCAAAGUUAGGUCUACUUCCCAAAUUAAUUAGACCCAUUCAUAUUAUGUAUCUAUCAUUUUAUUCCGCAGGCGUAAAUAGGUUCUUUUUAAAGUGGCUGAUCUAGAAUUUAGCAAUGGGGUGGGGGUGAUGUGGGGUGGAUAAUGUGAAGUGAGAAGGCACGAGCGGGGUGAGGGGGGUUGUUUUGGGAGGAGCAUCCCAUUACAUUUGAGAUUUUUUUUGGAAUUAGUAGACUGCUAGACGAUCUCAGGUGGCACCUGAAAAGAAGUAACUUAGCUUAAAAUAGAAAGUAUAUGUUUUACCAGAGUACACGAGAAGCACACAAACAAGACGAGUGACCAUUAUUUUAUUUUUCACGGUAAACGAAGAGGGAUGGCUAGCCACCCUAUUCAACCCCACCCACAAGAUCCGUCACUGUAAAGGAACUAGACAUACACGCUUACCUUUCACAUGAUACUGCAGGUGAAUCUUUGGUGUGAAUUCCCGUCGAAUUUAAGCGUUUGAAGAUCUAUAGGCCUAGCAUGUAUUUAGAUUCCGUAAAUGCUUUUGACUCCCCGGAAUAUUUUUAUUCUACAAAAUAGUGUUCAUCAUGCAUUCAACAUCACAAUUUCAUGUAAUUCCUUGUAUCACUUUUACCCAAAAUAACAUGUGGUAAACUUUUGAAAUCGUUAAAUCUGUUAAUUAGGCCUAGUAAAGUUUUAAAAGAGCAACAUCCUACCAUGCUACCUUUAGAAUGAUUUACAAAAAAAAAGCAAUUCAUAAUACUUUUUGCAUUUAAAUUUAUAGCGUAUAUUCGUCGUGUCUACUCAUAUCACUGUCGGACGAUCACACCCGUCAGCCUGAACCUGUGUGGUUAGUGAUAUUUAAGAAAGGUUAAAACUCCGAUCAAGAAGGCUAUUCGUGAAAGGAUUUGCACCAAACGAGCGUCUGUAAAACGAGGGGUUCGUGUAUUUUGUCAAUAAUUUCGUAUCCUUAAUUACGAAAUAUCACGGUAUUACGAAGCAUUUAUCAUGUGAAUGGAAUUACUAACGUGGAUAAUCGGAGAAAACGACUCCUAGAUUACACAAGAAAAUUUAAUGAAACAUUGUAAUAAGUUAUUUUGCGUUAAUGAUUGAGGUAUUCCAUCAGAUGAUGGAGUUUUGUUAACGGUGCAAUAGACGCAUGCCAGUGUAUAUCAACAAGGGUUCAGGAAUUUUAAUAGUUGAUUAUUAAAUAAGGCCUACUAUUAGUAUUACACCAUCUGUAUCCUUAUCGAUAUCAUUAUGAUAAUGAUAUAUAAGUAUUAUUUUAAUAAAACUUCAUCGGUUUUCAAAGUUAAUUUUAAUCAAUUUCCUUAAUAUUAAAACCAGUAUACUUUGUUUGUUGUAAAUAGUUUCGCUAACUACCAAUAAACUUA
rnacentral:misc_RNA from 1 species